UUCCUUGAGACAGGUUCUCUCUCCAUGACCCUGCAUGUUCAGGAACUAACUAUGUUGAUCAGGCUAGCCUUGAACUCACAAACUUCAGCCUGCCUCUACCUGAUACUAUCUCUGCCUCUGCCUAUGACUCUAUGACUGCCUCUGCAAUUGCCAUGGUAUGGAUCCUGACACAAAAGUGUUGAGACUAAAGGAAUGCUCCCACAAACUAAAUGGAAUCAAGUUUCUUUCUAUCUAUGUGGAUAUCCAGGUUUCCCAGCAUGUGAUCAAGAAGCCAUGUGUAAGCCAAGUGGUGCAAAGGGAGACUUCCCUGGGAAUUACACGUCAAAGCCAGAGAUUCCCUCAGCUGCAGAACAGAAAGAACUCUGCUACUCCUACUCCCUGGAUUACCAGAUGAGGACACCUCCUGUUGAUGGUGGCAAGUCAUUAACUGCCCCCAUCACAACCUUCAGAAUUCCGGGCAUUGCCACAUGAUCCCUGUCUGGAACAGAGAAUAAAAACCUGCAUGAGAUGGCAACAAAUCUGUCAAUGCCUCUGGAUGCCUAUGAGUGCAUGAAAGAGAAACAAGAUCCAUCUCUCUCCCUUUAGCACACACUGACAGGCAGCAUCCCUUGUACUUCACUGAUGCUGGGAGCCUAAGACAGCUGAGAGUCAAGGAUAGAAGCUUGCUUCUGACAUUGUGACAUUGGGAAGCAGCAGUCUUGGUCAGGAUGAGCCUGGGACAUGCACAGUGUGUUGGCCUCCAGAAUAGACUUGCAGACAUGACUACACUGGUGGUAGAAGUUCAUCUUCCAAACUGCUCAACUCCCUCUCUGAACUAAACCAAUUCCAGGUUCCCACAGCCACCCAAUGCAAAGACUCCAUAGUUUUCAGAAGCGAUCAGGCCCAGUAAAGAUCAGGUGUCAUCAGCACAUCCUUAAACCAGUUGAGAAAGAAGGAAGAGCAAAGCCCUAAUCUGCUUGAUCGAAAUUCUCUGGCCAGAAUCUAGUGUCAGGACCUGGUGGAGCGACAGAGCCUUAGAACAGUGCUAUGGCUAGAGAAGUUGAUAUUGACAACAUCAACCAGCAUAUAGAGGGCAAAGUUCAGAAAGCCACACUCUGCAGGCACAGCAGACCUGGGAAUCAUAAAAGACAAGACCAAGUGUAUUAGAGAUAAAACUCCAAGAAAGCUGAAAGAGUUGAUGCAAUUAAGUCACAGAGUAAAGACAGAAGACAAGCCCACUGUCCUCAACAACAAGAGGAUGUUCAAUUAACCUGAGCUCAGCCAUGAUGGCUUUAAAAAGCCUCAAAACCACCUCAGCGUGCACAUGCUGGAGUCUGUGAAGGUCUGUCACUCACUGUGGAAGGAAGGGUGAGAAGAAAACUGGCAUCUCCUGAACCUUCAACUCUUUGUGCUACUCUGUGCUCUAAUAGUAACAGAGUUUGUUACACUUUGGCCUCUGGGGAAUUCACUAUUAUCUUUUUCCAAGGCUACAUAUAGUGAGCAGAAUUCAUUUAUUUAUUAAGUCACUUUUAGUUUCUUAAACUGUGACCCACUCCAUAGCCCAGCAUCUCCUAGAACUGACAACAUCGAACAAGCAAUCAUUGAACUCACAAAGAUCUGCCUGCCUCUCCCUCUGCCUCAACCUCCAUCUCAGCCUCUGCCUCCCCUACUGCAUCCACAUCUGCACACUCCUCAGCGACUGCCUCAAGAGUGCUGGGAUGAAAGUAAUUCUCUAACAAGCAAGGUGGAAUCAAGGUUCUUUCAGUACAGGUUGAUAACCAUGUUUCAGUUCAUGUCUUGAUGAAGAGGCCAAGUGUACUCCAGGGUACAUUUUUGUACCUGAAAUUCAAAGAGAUGAAACCACAUGUUUUUACAAAUGCAACUUGACUCAGAUUCAUUUUUUUCUGACAGUCUUCCUUGUUUCAGUUGUAGGCUAUACUUGCUACAAUGCCUGUGAAGCACUCAUGAUAUCCAGGGUAUUUUCUAAUUUUGUAGUAAAGUUAUGAUUGCUUUUCUACUUCUAUGAAAUAGGGCAUCUGAGGAAUUGUAUUCACACUCUCCAUAGAGUUUCAUGGUGCUUCUUUCUUCACAAUAUCUAACCCCCAACUACUGUGUAUGCCCCAAAUUGUUCAUUCUAACAAGGGUAAGUACAGUCUAACUCACCUAGAAAAUGUUAACUAUCCCAGCAUGGAAAGAUCCUACUUCCUGAAUGCAAUGAUCCUCACAGGGACAAAUUUGAGUACAGCAGAAUGAUGGAAAGCAAUGGCUUAGGGAGUCCUCUGGUUUUAUCACUCCCUGUGUGUGGCUUAAUGACAGAUUUGCACACUGCCAUGAGACUACUGUCUUCAUCUCACAUCUUAGGAGCAGCAGAAACACAUUUGGAUGGAUAUCUUCUAAACUUGAUAUUAUUAUUUUAAUCUUUAUGUAUUCAAACUAAGGAUCUUGUAAAAUAAUCCUUAUUUAAGAAGUUCAGGAAGCAUUUUUCAUAUUAAAGCAAUUUACACAAUGCUA